rnacentral:antisense_RNA from 1 species
UUGGAGCGUGUCACCGCAGACGGCACGAUUGAGACAA